CACAAAUUAACGAAGAGAACGCAAAUGUGAGAAGCAUAACUAGUGCUGCAAUGAACAUGUUCAACGAUACAAACAUAGUACUAUUACAAUCAAAUCUUCUGAAGUAUGAAGAUUCACUGGCAACAAGAGGCGUGUCGUUUUGGAAAUGCAAUUCACGGAAAGUAUUCUGCGUGUCAACAAUCUUUGUACGCUCACACAGUACCUCCAACACUAAUUACACAACUGCAACGCCACAGCCAGAUGACAUCUUAUCAAACUGGAAGAAAUAAGGACGUCUAUGAAGUCUAUGGUGGUUGUAGAGUGUCGCAGUGAAGAUGCAGAAGCGUUUAGGAGAUCGUUACAAAUGCACCAAAUAAAAGCCCCUUUGGUUGAUGCGUUUCAAUGUCUCGUUUGCAACGAUUUGGCUACACCACCAAUUAAUUAAAUCGUCCUGCUGCAGGCAAAUUCUCGGUUGUGCGAACUGCAUUUUGGAAUGGGCAGUAAACGAGGAGCGGUGCCCACACUGUCGUUCCAGUGAUAUGAAUGCUUAUACUGUAGAAAAUUUAAAUUGUAUUUUAGAAGUCCUUAGAAAUAUUAUAUUGGAUAACUGAAAAUCUAUUGUUUUUACGUAAUGUUAAAAUUUCAUAGGUAAUAAAAACACGUUAUUGUAUCUAAGAACAAGCGAUAUAAGAAAAUAAUAGUUACUCCUUUAUUGGUAGAAUUUUGAAAAUGAGUUUUAAAUCCAUUCUUACCUGGCUAAAAAUAUCAUGCUUAUAAAAAAUGUACCUUUUCAGUAAAAAAAGUCGGCAAAAAUAGAAAGUCGGCAAAAAUAUUAUUCACUUAGACAAAAUUUAAUCACUUUUUGCUGACUAAAUUUUGAAUUUAGUUUUUUUUGCCGACUCAAUUUUUAAAUUUAGUCACUAAUAAAGAAUAAUUGCAUACAACUGAUAAAAAUUAGCAACAAGAAAAAAAAACGGCAAAAAGGUGGUUGGAAAAAAAGUUGGGUCGGCAAAAAAUAUUAGUCACCUAGGCAAAGCUUUGCCGACUUUUUGUAAAGAACAUAAGUAAAAUAUUUUAAGUUCUGAAAUGCGGAAAUUAAAAUCGUCCCAAUUAAUUCUAAAAAAUCAGCGUAUCUAAGGAAACGUGCAUUUUCUAAACAGAUAUUCGCCACUUUGAUAGCACAUUCGGAAUAAUUUAUUCGGGCUUGUGUGGCAUGCUUUUUUAUUAUGUCGUAGAAAAACAUUCAUACAGCUAAAAAAAUAUUUGUUACAUUAAAAUAUGCCUAACCAAACAGACAUCUGGAAAUUUUAAGGUUGAUUUGCAGACUUCCAUUUCAUUUGCAAAUACUUUGAGCAUAAACAUUGGAAGUCUGGAUGAUUUUCGUUAUAAUAUAAUUCCUCAUUCUAGCACAAAAUAAUAUCAAAACGAUAAACAUUUCAAUAAUUUCAAGUGUUUGAUUCGUUGAACAACUCGUAGUUCCUUUCAGUUAACCCCAUUAUAAAAAAACACAAAGCAAAAAUUAUGUUCAGUGCUAACUCGUGAAGUAAUGAAGAUUUUGAAAAAAUACAUUUCUAAAUUGACCGGAUUCUUGUUGACAAGCAUUUUUUCCACAUCUUAAAAAAUAAAAUAGCAGUAAAUUUUCAGUCUUGCCAUUGUUCCCAUUUUUUGAUUACUCUUUCAGCAAUUAUCAGCAUUGUUCUUAUGAACGAGUAUAGCUGUUCUAAAAUAAUUGUUUUUUUAGUAAUUUUCUUAACACAUGGGAGCAGGGUAGAGGAAGAUUGAAAUACAAAGAAAUAUUUUUCACAGUUAUAAUGUAAUCCUUAGUUGUAAUGUACGUGCUAAGUUAGUAAAAUACAGUAGAGCUUCUCGGAAUUGCCAAUUGUUGCAUUCGCUAGAAAUCCAAAAAGGUCAGAAAUACUAUAGCGGCCUUCAAACUCUCGUAUUCUUUCUGAUAAAAAGCUUGGUGAAUUGAAAAGUGGAUUGACCGCAAACACACUAUCACUGUUAAUGGUCGAUUCAGGGUAAGACUGCAUGUAAAGUAAUUUAGCUCCUAAUCCAUUUGGUACAACUUUCGCCAUCAGGGGUAAGCUCCCAUUACUUCUGGUUUUAAUUACUGACGGCACGCUUCUGCCUAAAAAAAUAAUAAAAGGGUGACCGACUAUUUCUGUUAUGACGGGGUAGCAACGAGUGGGAAACUGUGUUUUUAUUUCAGCUAAAAUUAUAUAUAUUUAAAAAGGUACAUAUCAACCGAAACACUCAAAUGUUGUGGUCGCUUUGUUUGAUUUACGAGAUACUGCAUACCUGUACUAAAACGCUCCACCAUGUGACACUGUUGUUCUUAUUAGGCGCUCCACUGGGCAUUCAAAGCCAGACCGUACACCUGUGGCUUAACCCCUGUUGUUAGUUUUACUGAGUCUUGUGACUUGUCUUGAUGUCUAUUGAUAUAUCCAAUAGCGCAGCAUCCCUUUUGAGAGAAAGUAGUAUCGAUUGUAAAACUUCGUUCGCGGUCCCCUUUUGCGUGUAACAAAGAUAGGGUAGCAGCGGCGCUAUUGAAUAGUGUAUUUUUUUUAGCCUACCUGUAGACCAGACGCGCUUCACAUCUCCGAUCGAUUUUUUUACACUGGUGU